CCUACGGGAGGCAGCAGUGGGGAAUAUUGGACAAUGGGCGAAAGCCUGAUCCAGCCAUGCCGCGUGGAUGAAGAAGGCCCUAGGGUUGUAAAGUCCUUUCGGUGGUGAAGAUAAUGACGGUAACCACAGAAGAAGCCCCGGCUAAUUUCGUGCCAGCAGCCGCGGUAAUACGAAAGGGGCUAGCGUUGUUCGGAAUUACUGGGCGUAAAGCGCACGUAGGCGGCCUUGUAAGUUGGGGGUGAAAUCCCGGGGCUCAACUCCGGAACUGCCUCCAAAACUACAAAGCUAGAGGAUGCGAGAGGAUAGUGGAAUUCCGAGUGUAGAGGUGAAAUUCGUAGAUAUUCGGAAGAACACCAGUGGCGAAGGCGACUGUCUGGCGCAUUUCUGACGCUGAGGUGCGAAAGCGUGGGGAGCAAACAGGAUUAGAUACCCCUGUAGU
rnacentral:rRNA from 1 species